CUUGUGUCAGGGCCAAUGAAAUGAAAAAAAAAUCAUGCAAACACCAAAGCAAGCCAUGAGACAUUUUGUGAAAUUACGUGUUUGAAGUUUUCCGCUAUCGCAAAAAGUUUUUUUUUUUUGUUGCUUGCCUGAAAUGCGGAAAUAACGACGAAAACCGUUAAAGGACGUUUAUAGAUGCGAAGACUACGGGCAUCUGAAAGUGUUACAAUUUUGCAAUCAAACCAACAGUGAAGUAAGUGCUGUUGAUUGAAAAUCCCGGAGUGUAGAGCUUGUGAAUGAAAUUGCUGGCGUGAAAAGACGAAACCGUCGUUUAAAUUACAGAACUUACGAUAUUUAAGGACGAUAAUAGGUUCAUUAUUCAUCCAAUCAUUUGAGUGGUGCCAUUCGAACCUGAUACUUGCAUUUUAUAAAAAAAAUGAAAUAAUUCGUGCUCGACAUUGAACCAGGAUAGUAGCGCUAGUAGAUUUAGCAGUGAACCGAAUAUCUAGGUUAUAUGGCGUUUCGAAGUUUAAUUUUCUGCUGCCCCAAAGUGCAAAAUGUUUGGAACCUAUUAUGAAACGGCAGAAAUCAUGAAGACACCAAAGCAAGCCAUGAGUAAUUUAGUGAAUUUUCGUGUUUGAAGUUUUCCGCUAUCGGAAUAAGUUUUUUCCUGCAUGAAAGAAAUUACGGUGAAAUCCUUGAAAAACGGUUUCGAAAUUUGAACUGAAGAACCGAUCUUUUGCCCACUCAAACCAUAAUCACCAUGAACAGUAGUUAUCAAAACGUUUUCGGACAAAAGUCGUCGUCUGUGCCCUAUAAAAAGUUUACUGCGAAGGAAAGCUUUGAGCGCAGAACUAAGCUAGAAAGCGAAGACAGAACAGUCCGCUGGAACGAGCAAAAGGGAGUUUGAACAAGUAAAAAAGUGAAAGGAUAAUGCUAUUGGCACAACCGACGUGCUGAGAAUUUCGAAAAAUAAGCUGCUCCUACGCCCAGUAUCGCUGUUCCGGGUUCUAUACUAGACAAUGCUCAAGAACUUCGCCGAACCUAUCUUGUCGAAUAAAUAGCUCGGGCAGUUUGUAUCUUUCAGACGGAUAAAAUUAUUAUUAUCGAUGACUGUGGAAGCUCUAACGAGGCUACGGACAGAAUGGGUACGAUUGAUACGGCACAAGGAAGCACUUCUGCUAGACGCUGCUGUGUACAAUAGACUCGAAUUCUGCAAUAUCUUGAAUGCCCGCAAUAUCCACGCAAAUCUAUUUUUCCAAUGCAUACACUCAAACACUACGGAUAGGUGAAUCCACUGGACUCGCAUCAUCAUCUGCGGCAGGCCAGCGAGUUGGAGUUCUGCGGAAGAAUUGUGAAUUGUGGAAGAGAAAAAGGUUCAUCAGAUUCUCUGCAAGGAAAAAACUGAAAUUCGUGGUCGUUUUCGGUGGGGUUUUUGGUCUGGGGCCUGCGCUGGUAAAAUGACGUUAAAUUAAAUGUGGAUAAAGUGGAGCUCCUUUUCGAUCAUUAUGUUAACACAGUCCCUGGGCAAGGGUCUAGAACCGUGCGUACAGAGGAAGCGGUUCUGAUUAUUUUGGCUGCACUUGGAGAGAAGCUUAACCCAACGAACCAUUCGAAGAAGUUUACACAUGUUGAUGCUAUUCCACAAAGUCAGGAUACCGGGAUACAGCAGUACGCUUUUAUUGAGAAAAAGGAAAAACCAGUUCCGGAAGCAUCUGUAGUGGCGAAUCAAUCUGCCUCAGGCGAUUUGUUGUGGUUUGAAUGAGGCAACGGCAUGAAUAAGAAAUAAAAGGACUGGAGAAAAUUUGUACGCCCAUCCUGUUUAAAGUGAACUCUCUGCGCCCGGCUAAAGCAAUUUGGGAGUACCGAAUUUCGGCUAAAGGUUGAGCAGAAUGCAGGAACAGAGGAAGCAGAGGACGAACAUUAGAAAGCUCGAGCUUUUUCAACAGUUGUACCCGGAUUGUCUUUUGCUUGCUUGAGGUUGAUGUCGAAGAACUGGCCUGGGUCGAAACCGACUGCACGCUCACCGGCCAAUCUAGGG